UACGUAGGGUGCAAGCGUUUAAUCGGAAUUACUGGGCGUAAAGCGUGCGCAGGCGGUUGUGCAGGACCGACUGUGAAAUCCCCGGGCUUAACCUGGGAAUGGCAUUGGUGACUGCACGGCUAGAGUGUGUCAGAGGGGGGUAGAAUUCCACGUGUAGCAGUGAAAUGCGUAGAGAUGUGGAGGAAUACCGAUGGCGAAGGCGGGUCUCUGGGGCAACUACUGACGGCUGAGGAGCGAAAGCGUGGGGAGCGAACAGG
rnacentral:rRNA from 1 species